CACAGUUACGAGAAUCUCCAGCAGCAUACCACUCCAGUUUUUCUUGUUCUCGUUUCUGUUUCUCAUGUCUACGAACAAGAUAAGUAUUUCCGAUGACCAGCAUGCACACAUCUCUUCAGAUUUAAAAGCUAUUCAGACACCAGCUGUCCUGACUGAGGCUUUUAUGAUUCUUCACAGUUCCUCUAGUCAAAUGCCAGGAUAAUACUAUGAAAUGGGCCUUAACCAGUUCUUUCCAUAUCUUUCAAAUCAUGUGAAGCUACAAACUAAUAAAGAUAUUGAUACUA